AAGUGUCAAAAGAUCGGAUCCUAAUUCUAUUAUAGCAUUAAAUCAACGCUAUGCAUGAUUCUCAUUAAGCGGGAAAUCAAAAACCCAUAUUAGAACCAAUUUUAUUUUGGUAACACUUUGAACCGCCAAUACUUACCGAAAAAUUGGUUUUGACACAAACUUUUUUUGUUUUGGGGAAAUUUAUUUUUUUGCCAAGUCCUUUUUCGUCUCAACAAAAAAAUUCCACUCGAUGUAUUGAUCUCAAAGCCAGACUCCGGCGAGUUUCCCCACUUAUUCCGUUCUCAAUCCACCGAUGCUUCUAUCUAACAAUUACAAACCCUAUCUAUUCUCUCUGCUUAUGCGAAACCCUAGAUGUUGGAGGGGAAGAAGAACACUAAUGCAAUCCCGGUCUCAGAAUAUGAAAAGCUAAUCGUGGCAAGCGACGAGCCUGGAGACGGGUAUGGCUUUGCAGAUGACUAAUGAGGAGAAGCUUGAGAUCCCUAUAGUGGUAGCUCUCAGAGAAUACAAGAAACCUUAAUGGGUUUUUUCUAAAGCUUGCUCCUUUAUGUGAUCUUGACCAAGCUCUAAGGCUUGCUCAAGUAGCGGUAGGGAUUGUAACCUUGAUGUCGCUAAACUAAGGAAAGAUUUACUGCCCGUAUCCCAACUCCUCUUUUCUUUUAGACCCGCAUGAAUGUCUUUCACCCGGAAGGGCUAGUGCUAGUGCAAGUGCAAGCUCAAGCUCGUGUACUCAGUCAGAGAAUAGCUGUUGCAACCACAUGACUUGCCGGUAAGACAUACAUCCAUAGCUCAUGAUGAUUUCUCUGUGUUUACUGGUGUGGGAAACGAACCUGUGAAGGCAAUGACUUGUUCAGAGAAAUGAUUGCGAGUGGUGUCAUCAAGCUAGGUGAGAAGUAGGUUGUUUUCAAGUUCGUUGAUUUUCUUUUUCAUAAAUGACCGCAAUGCAGAAUUCUCCAAUAAGUGGAACUUUGAUCACUAAUCGAGAAGAAUGUCUUGAAAUGUCUGUUUCUAUAGCUUUUGUCAGCAACGAUUCCUGAGAAAAAGAU